UACGUAGGCAGCAAGCGUUGUUCGGAGUUACUGGGCGUAAAGGGCGCGUAGGCGGCGAUCCAAGUUAGGCGUGAAAGCCCCGGGCUUAACCUGGGAAUUGCGCUUAAGACUGGACUGCUUGAGUGCGGGAGAGGUGAGUGGAAUUCCCAGUGUAGAGGUGAAAUUCGUAGAUAUUGGGAAGAACACCAGUGGCGAAGGCGGCUCACUGGCCCGCAACUGACGCUGAGGCGCGAAAGCGUGGGGAGCAAACAGG
rnacentral:rRNA from 1 species